rnacentral:rRNA from 1 species
GGGUCAGUAGGUUGGUCGUGCCACCGGUACGUACUGGUCUCACUGAUUCCUCCUUCCUGAAGAACCGUAAUGCCAUUAAUUUGGUGUUGCGGGGAAACAGGACUGUUACCUUGAAAAAAUUAGAGUGUUUAAAGCAAGCUAACGCUUGAAUACAUUAGCAUGGAAUAAUGAAAUAGGACGAUCGAUCCUAUUUUGUUGGUUUCUAGGAUUGACGUG